rnacentral:tRNA from 1 species
GCGGUCGUGGUGGAAUUGGUAGACACGCCAGCUUGAGGUGCUGGUGGUCGAAAGGCUAUGCUGGUUCAAGUCCAGUCGACCGCA